CUGCGAGUGAAGCGGGAAAAGCUCAAAUUUAAAAUCUGGCGGUCUUCUGGCCGUCCGAGUUGUAGUCUGGAGAAGCGUUUUCCGCGUUGGACCGUGUACAAGUUUCCUGGAACGGAGCGUCAUAGAGGGUGAGAAUCCCGUCUUUGACACGGACCCCAAUGCUUUGUGAUGCGCUCUCAAAGAGUCGAGUUGUUUGGGAAUGCAGCUCAAAAUGGGUGGUGAAUUCCAUCUAAAGCUAAAUAUUGGCGAGAGACCGAUAGCGAACAAGUACCGUGAGGGAAAGAUGAAAAGCACUUUGGAAAGAGAGUUAAACAGUACGUGAAAUUGUUGAAAGGGAAACGCUUGAAGUCAGUCGCGUCGUCCGGGACUCAGCCUUGCAUCCGCUUGGUGUACUUUCCGGUCGACGGGCCAGCAUCAGUUUUGACCGCGAGAUAAAGGCGGAGGGAAUGUGGCUCCCCGUUUGGGGAGUGUUAUAGCCCUUCGUCAGAUGUCGCGGUUGGGACUGAGGAACUCAGCACGCCUUUAUGGCCGGGGUUCGCCCACGUACGUGCUUAGGAUGCUGGCGUAAUGGCUUUAAACGACCCGUCUUGAAAACACGGACCAAGGAGUCUAACAUGCCUGCGAGUGUUUCGGGUGGAAAACCCGUGCGCGCAAUGAAAGUGAAAGUUGGGAU
rnacentral:rRNA from 1 species